rnacentral:ncRNA from 1 species
GAUAACUGCCUUGUGGCAGCCAAGCGUUCAUAGCGACGUUGCUUUUUGAUCCUUCGAUGUCGGCUCUUUCUCUCCUUGAUUCAUUAAAAUUCGAAGUCGCGCUGUGAUUAUUCGUUCAGUCGAACAGGUA